ensembl:lncRNA
UAAACUUUCCUUUAGAUAUUUAUGUAAGUUUUAUAUAAUACACAACAUGUAACAUGCCCAUGAACUAAAUAAGGGCAUGUUAUGUGCCCUCAGAAAAUCCAGAGAGGAUGAUGUUAAUGAUGAUUAAUAAUAUCAAUAUUAAUGUUUUAGAUGAUAAUUAUUAUAAUGUAAUAAAAUUUGUAAUUAUUAUUAUUUAUUAAAUGCAUUUUUUUUUUUUUUUGGUUAUUAUUUUGAUUAUAAACCACAUAAUUUUAUCUCUCCUCCUCAGAUAUAUGAAUAAUGAAAUAUUUCUCUCUUUCAGUAGUCACAUUGAUCCAUCUGGAUCUGGUUCGGCUCCUGGCAGUAACCUCCAGACCUCAUUCCAACAUGCCAGUAGUUUUCACCUUUCAGUGUCAGUGCAGAGUCGGUAGCCCUGGGUAAGCUCACUAUUCCGGCUCUCCAGAACAUUCUAAUUACCAGUCCACCCUCAUUAUGUUUGCCAUGUCAUUGUGUGCGGACGAACGAAUGAACAAACGGAGGGAGGGAGGAGAGGCAGAGAGAAAGAGAGACUCUUUUUUGAUCUUCGCUUCCAUUAGGACACAUUCCUGGAAAAGUGUGAUCUCUCUUCCCGUGCUUUCGCGAUUGUGUCUUAAUGGAGACAUCUACAGCAUUUAUAAAAUAAAAUCCUCUGAAUUUAUGCCUCGGUCUGCUCCGUAAUCCCUUACUGCAGACUCCGCACAUCCUCUCUCUCUUCCCGGCCCCGUUCCAAAUGAACUCAUACGUCGGCUGUAUGCAGAUCGCCUGCCUUCUCGCCUCUCAUCGAGGGCCUGCUGAUAGGGCUAAACGAUUGACCUCUGACCUCAUGACAACAGGAGGGAGAGAACAGGAAGCUUCUGUGUUAAUCCAGGCAGGCAUCUGACGAGCGCAGGGAAAGACUGGGAGUCCAUAUCAGCCUGACCCCAGCGCACAGCACCUUUAUCUGUUAAUCUACAGCUCUCUUUAACAGCUUGCUGAAUUAACACCCAGGCAGGGCAAGAGGGCUUCCGAUUUACACACAUCAGCCCCUCUGCGUCGAGCACAAAAGAAACGCUGCCUUGUCUUGCUGCUCGUGUAUGUAAGACGUUGUACCGUCUGCCCGCCCUCCCGUAGAGCCACUCUCUUCCUGGGCACUCAGGAAGUUAAGGAAAGUUGUGUUAAUGUCCUUAGAAUAUGAUGAUAUCAGAAUGUUAAAAUGGGUUAGUGUGACAAACUGCUGCGCGUGUUAAUCGGUAAUAAAAUUAUCAUUUCUUUAGGUUCA